UCUGGCUGUGUAAUAACUACGUGAAAAUGUAGCUAAGGGAAGGCAGAAUAAGACGCAGGACUAUCAGUUAGUUGGUAGUGUAAUGGACUACCAAGACAGUGACGGUUGACGGGAAAUCAGGGUUUGGUUCCGGAGAGA
rnacentral:rRNA from 1 species